rnacentral:rRNA from 1 species
CAGUAGCCACGGGAAAACGAAGGGGGCUAGCGUUGUUCGGAAUUACUGGGCGUAAAGCGUACGUAGGCGGCUUUGUAAGUUAGAGGUGAAAGCCUGGAGCUCAACUCCAGAAUUGCCUUUAAGACUGCAUCGCUUGAACGUCGGAGAGGUGAGUGGAAUUCCGAGUGUAGAGGUGAAAUUCGUAGAUAUUCGGAAGAACACCAGUGGCGAAGGCGGCUCACUGGACGACUGUUGACGCUGAGGUACGAAAGCGUGGGGAGCAAACAGGAUUAGAUACCCCCGUAGUCCCUGUCUCUUAUAC